rnacentral:snRNA from 1 species
GCUGGCAGCUGUGGCUGGGCCUCACCGGCCUCCUGGGGGUGCUGGCGGUCGCCGGGGCGAGCCUCAGCUGCGUCUGGU